rnacentral:ncRNA from 1 species
AAUUGGUUCUAUACAGAUAGAAUGAAAAAGGGAAUCAGGUGAAAGUCCUGAACAGUCCCGCUGCUGUGAGCAACCUUCAGCGCAUGCAAACACAAAGCCACUGACAUUUUUUCGGGAAGGCGUUUGCAUGAUGGGUUGCAAGUCAGAAGACCUGCCGUUGCAGCA